rfam:Triticum aestivum genome assembly, contig: Triticum_aestivum_CS42_TGACv1_scaffold_221569_3B
UAUGUAUCCCUCAGUCCGAAAAUACUUGUCGGAGAAAUGGAUGUAUCUAUACGUAAUUUAGUUUUAGAUACAUCCGUUUUAUGCAUUUCUCCGACAAGUAUUUUCGGACGGAGGAAGUACAUG